UACAGAGGGUGCAAGCGUUGUUCGGAAUUAUUGGACGUAAAGGGAGUGUAGGCGGCUAGGAAAGUCUUCUGUGAAAUCUACGGGCUCAGCCUGUAACGUGCAGAGGAAACUAUCUGGCUAGAGUGUCGGAGAGGAUAGGGGAAUACCCAGUGUAGAGGUGAAAUUCGUAGAUAUUCGCAAGAACACCAGUGGCGAAGGCGGCUCACUGGCCCGAUACUGACGCUGAGGCACGAAAGCGUGGGGAGCAAACAGG
rnacentral:rRNA from 1 species